GAUGAAGAACGCAGCGAAAUGCGAUAAGUAAUGUGAAUUGCAGAAUUUAGUGAAUCAUCGAAUCUUUGAACGCAUAUUGCGCCCGCCAGCACUCUGGCGGGCAUGCCUGUUCGAGCGUCAUUUCAACCCUCAGGCCUCGCGUCUGACGUUGGGGCGCUGCGGCCCUCCCGCAGGCCCCCAAAUCUAGCGGCGGAUCCGCCGCGGCCCUGAGCGCAGUAGUUUGACUCGAACGCUCCGGCGGCCGUGGCGCGGUUCUGCCUCCCGCCCCAUAGCGCCGAUGGCGUUACUCCCAAAAGUUGACCUCGGAUCAGGUAGGACUACCCGCUGAACUUAAGCAUAUCAAUAAGCGGAGGA
rnacentral:misc_RNA from 1 species